rnacentral:rRNA from 1 species
GACGAACGCUGGCGGCGUGCCUAAUACAUGCAAGUAGAACGCUGAAGGAGGAGCUUGCUUCUCCGGAUGAGUUGCGAACGGGUGAGUAACGCGUAGGUAACCUGCCUGGUAGCGGGGGAUAACUAUUGGAAACGAUAGCUAAUACCGCAUAACAGUAGAUGUUGCAUGACAUUUGCUUAAAAGGUGCAAUUGCAUCACUACCAGAUGGACCUGCGUUGUAUUAGCUAGUUGGUGAGGUAACGGCUCACCAAGGCGACGAUACAUAGCCGACCUGAGAGGGUGAUCGGCCACACUGGGACUGAGACACGGCCCAGACUCCUACGGGAGGCAGCAGGAGGGAAUCUUCGGCAAUGGACGGAAGUCUGACCGAGCAACGCCGCGGGAGUGAAGAAGGUUUUCGGAUCGGAAAGCUCUGUUGUAAGGGAAGAACGAGUGUGAGAGUGGAAAGUUCACACUGUGACGGUAUCUUACCAGAAAGGGACGGCUAACUACGUG